UUCUAUUCAUAGCCUCUAUUUUACUCCUUACAGCCAUUAUUUAAAAUUAUUAAUAAUAAUUAAUUAAAAAUUUACAAUUUUACCCUUAUUUUAUAGCCCAAAUUAAAUUCAUUAUAAUCAAUUUAUCAUUUCAAUUUCUUUGUAACCAUCACUGGAGUUUUCUUCUAAUUUUGCCCAGUGUUCAUUGUGCCUCCUUCUAUUCCGGUGAAGGUCGCCGGCGCCUCUCCUUCUCUCCAUCUAAACUUUUCUCUCUCGCGACCCAAAACACGCACGCACACAAAUAAACACCGCCCCGCCCUUCUUCCUAAAUCCACCACCGCCACCACCCUCUUCAGAUUUUCGGCAAACAGCAGCGGUGGCCGCCGUCGCCCAGAGCCUCCUCGCUUUUUGUUCACUGAUUCACGUCCCUCAUUUUUCUUUGAAACCAUAGAUCCCCAAAUCUUCCACCGCCUCCUUACAGCACAUUUUUAAUUCAUUGAUUAGUCGACUCUUGCAGCAGCUCGGGCAGAGAUAACUUUUACGAGUAUAUGGUCAUUGGUCAGCAUGCUUUGAGGGAGAGAGCAAGAAAAAUAGAUCAAGGCAUCUUGAUUAUAAGAUAUGGAGCUUAGGGAUCAGAAAAAAAGAGUGGCUGAAGAAGAAGCUAGCGUUAGGAAAUCAGGAUUUGAGAUGAGACUUCUACCAAGCUCUGAAGAGGAUGCAUCUUCUGCUUCUUCUUUUUUCUUUCAAAAGUCAUUACACUUUCACGGUAUUCGAAUCCAAUAUCAUUCUGUAAUACACAAACAUCUUGUCAGACAACAAACGAAACAAGUGCAAAGUGGAUUGAACCUCUGCACAACUAAAGCAAGAUGAAGGCAUCCAAAUGUUGGAGUAUGA